rnacentral:lncRNA from 1 species
AAUAAAUCAAAACAUAAAUACAAAUUAUUGUAAUUUGUUAUUGUGAAAUUCAUAAAACAGUUGUUUGUAAAAUGGAUGAAGUUUAGAUCUAAAAAUUUCACAAAACAUUUCUUGAAUAUUUUUAUAAAUAAUUCCACAUCAUGUUGCAUUUUGUUAACACUAAGAUGACUGAGACAAUAUGGCAUAUGGGGUUGGCAAUAGCAUGAAAUCCAAAUUGAUAUGGCAUAUACGAUGUUUAAAAUUUAUCUACUGAUCAUUACUAAACAACCAUACGGGAUUAAUCAUCGUAAUCCAAACGUUUAUUCACCAGGGGGAGUUAGUGCUAUUCGGCUUAUACGUUUAUCUACUGAGUUUCCCAUGCAAAAUACAAGAGUGAUCAGUCUGAUCUUUUUUUGUAAGUUCUUGUUAUAUUGCAGUGUAACUCUUAUUUCUUGUAUCAAAAUCUUAAAUUUUGAUUGAUUUCUCGUACAAUAUGGCAAAAAUUAAGUAAAAUUUUAAUUUAUAUUUUAAAAAUGUUUGUUGGUUAGUAAAAAAAAAUGAUAGUGUAUGGCUAGUAACUGUUACUUGGAAUCUAACAUCUUAAGAUUUUUUAAAAUUCCAAAUUUCUGUAAUUAAGCAAUUUAUAUUUAUAUUAACAAAGAAAAUAUAUUGGCUGCACGAGAUGUGGUUUCAGGUGGAUUUUAUUAAUAUAAUAAACGUGAGUGUUGGGAUAAAAUAUGUGAAUAUUAACAGUCAAAUGCUGGAAAUCAGAGCUAAUAUUAUAACAAAUACAUAGUGGAAGGAGUAAAAUUUGUAAUUUUAUGCUCUUAUUUUGUUUUCUGUUCAUUUAUUGUGCUUUUUAUGAAAACUUUUAAUAAUUAUUAUUUUAAUCUUUGUAGAAAUAUCAUGCUAAUUAUAAUGUACUAAAUUUCUAGAAAGAUGAUGAUUUUCAAAUUAAAUUUCUUGAAUAUAACCGUCGUAAAUUACAACUGUGUUAUAGUUCUGAAGAUAUAAUGGUCCUCUGCAUCACAGGUCAGAAGGGAUAUCAAUAUACUACAUAUAAAAAUGUGUGUGUUCUAAGAUUUCCUCAAUACAAAGAUCACAUAUUUAUUAGAAAGCUUUUAAAUGUGUAAGAUAACCACAAAAUAUGAUAAAAAUGUUAAUUCUUUAUUGAGUAAGGAUUAAGAUUAAUUUUGUUAAAUUACAUUUAUUGUAUAGUUCAGUAUUUGAAGUUCUCUUUUAUUAAUUUUAAAUGGAUGAUGAUUAUUAGUUCCAGGACCUCAAAAUGUACAACCAAAUAAUGGAGAUUUCAACUUAUUGUUUUUUCUCAUG